GCUUCCAUAGCGUAGUGGUAGUGCGUUCGCUUCGUAAGCGAAAGGUCGCGAGUUCGAUCCUCGCUGGGAGCU
rnacentral:tRNA from 1 species